GGGCCUUGUACACACCGCCCGUCACACCAUGGGAGUGGGUUGCAAAAGAAGUAGGUAGCUUAACCUUCGGGAGGGCGCUUACCACUUUGUGAUUCAUGACUGGGGUGAAGUCGUAACAAGGUAACCGUAGGGGAACCUGCGGUUGGAUCACCUCCUUACCUUAAAAAAGC
rnacentral:rRNA from 1 species